rnacentral:rRNA from 1 species
GGUUGAUCCUGCCGGAGGUCACUGCUAUCGGGGUUCGAUUAAGCCAUGCGAGUCGAGAGGGUUCAGACCCUCGGCGGACUGCUCAGUAACACGUGGAUAACCUGCCCUAAGGUGGAGCAUAACCCCGGGAAACUGGGGAUAAUACUCCAUAGGAUAUGGAUACUGGAAUGUUCUAUAACCGAAAGUUCCGGCGCCUUAGGAUGGAUCUGCGGCCGAUUAGGUUGUUGUUGGGGUAACGGCCCAACAAGCCCGUAAUCGGUACGGGUUGUGGGAGCAAGAGCCCGGAGAUGGACUCUGAGACACGAGUCCAGGCCCUACGGGGCGCAGCAGGCGCGAAAACUUUACAAUGCAGGAAACUGUGAUAAGGGAACCCCGAGUGCCCGUAUACGCGGGCUGUUCG